AACAGUUGCGGGGGGACCUUUGGAAUAUACCAUAGGUUGAGAAGGUAGAACCUGACCCUUAGAACCUGUCGGUUAACACCGUCGAAGGGAAGCACGGAUCAAGAAGC
rnacentral:ncRNA from 1 species